GCGACGCCGCGUGUGGGAAGAAGGCCUUCGGGGUUGUGAAGCCACUGUCGGGAGUAGAAAAGGUGUACGGGUAAAUAGUCCGUGCAUUUGACAAAAGCUCCCGGAGGAAGCCACGGCUAACUCUGUGCCAGCAGCCGCGGUAAUACAGAGGUGGCAAGCGUUGUUCGGAAUUAUUGGGCGUAAAGAGCACGUAGGCGGCCCUGCAAGUCAGCUGUGAAAGCCUCCUGCUUAACGGGAGAAGUGCAGUUGAAACUACGGGGCUAGAGUGCGGAAGGGGAGAGUGGAACUUCUGGUGGAGCGGUGAAAUGCGUAGAUAUCAGAAGGAACACCGGCGGCGAAAGCGGCUCUCUGGUCCGUAACUGACGCUGAGGUGCGAAAGCCAGGGGAGCAAACGGGAUUAGAUACCCCGGUAGUCCUGGCCGUAAACGAUGGGCACUCGGUAGAGGGGUUUUGAAUAUCUCUCUGCCUGAGCUAACGCGUUAAGUGCCCCGCCUGGGGAGUACGGCCGCAAGGCUAAAACUCAAAAGAAUUGACGGGGGCUCGCACAAGCGGUGGAGCAUGUGGCUUAAUUCGAUGCAACACGAAGAACCUUACCGGGGCUCGACAUGACAGAAGUAGGAGUCCGAAAGGACAACCAACGGUAUCCAGUCCGUAGCUGUCACAGGUGUUGCAUGGCUGUCGUCAGCUCGUGUCGUGAGACGUUGGGUUAAGUCCCCUAACGAGCGAAACCCUUGUCUUUAGUUGCCAACGGGUCAAGCCGGGCACUCUAAAGAGACUGCUGUCGUUAAGACGGAGGAAGGUGGGGAUGACGUCAAGUCAUCAUGGCCCUUAUGUCCCGGGCUGCACACGUGCUACAAUGGUCGGUACAAAGGGAUGCUAAAUCGCAAGAUGGAGCGAAACCCAGAAAGCCGGUCCCAGUUCAGAUUGGAGGCUGAAACCCGCCUCCAUGAAGGAGGAAUCGCUAGUAAUCGCGGAUCAGCUAUGCCGCGGUGAAUAUGUUCCCGAGCCUUGUACACACCGCCCG
rnacentral:rRNA from 1 species